CCUACGGGUGGCAGCAGUGGGGAAUAUUGCACAAUGGCGGAAACCCUGAUGCAGCGACGCCGCGUGAGUGAAGAAGUAAUUCGUUAUGUAAAGCUCUAUCAGCAGGGAAGAAAAGGACGGUACCUGAGUAAGAUGCCCCGGCUAACUACGGGCCAGCAGCCGUGGUAAUACGUAGGGGGCAAGCGUUAUCCGGAUUUACUGGGUGUAAAGGGAGCGUAGAGGGCAGUGGAAGUCUGGAGGGAAAGGCGGGGGCUCAAACCCCGGACUGCGCUGGAAACUGUACGGCUGGAGUGCAGGAGAGGUAAGUGGAAUGCGUGGUGUAGCGGUGAAAUGCGUAGAUAUUAGGCGGAACACCAGUGGCGAAGGCGGCUUACUGGCCUGUAACUGACGUUGAGGCUCGAAAGUGUGGGGAGCAAACAGGAUUAGAUACCCCGGUAGUC
rnacentral:rRNA from 1 species